rnacentral:sRNA from 1 species
CUGUGGCAGCAGCCCAGGGCUGACAUGCAUUCUGGUUGUGUUGUUCCCUCUCAGCACCUGCUCCAAUGUGGCAAGCUCCCCCAUUCCACAACUGGUGAGCCUCUGAGGUACAUACAGCCUCUGGGACUGAAGACAGACUCAGAAACGGCUAGUCAGAUUGUGGAAGUGGGUCAGACAGGUGGCUGGUAAGGGGUGUUGUGUGCAGAAGUGGUAGGUCAGGGGCCUGCCAGAAUUUCUCAGUUCCUCUUUCGAUUUCACAGCAUUAGCAGCUGCAGCAUGUUCCCAGAUAUGUGCUUGAUGAUUCUAGAUGCCAGGAUGAAGAAUCAGAGGAAGGGCUCUGUGAGUCAGGUCUGGAGAGCAACGCCACCCACCAUCACUACCACCACCACCACACAAAUACACAUCAGAAUGACUCCGGAAAGUCAGAGAACUCACAAUCACAUUUGGGAGGCAGCAAUGUGCCACAUAAUGACACACAUGAGUGUGGUGCUGCUGCGGGAAGAUUGUGAGUCACGCCGGGAGAGUGUGUAAAGCUUCGGAGAAGAGUUGUCCCUGGUGUUGACUGGAUGUUCCUGAUGCUGGCAGGACUGCUCGGGAAGGCAGUAAAACUGUGGCCCUGACAGUGGAGUUCAAGGAACAUCAGUCCACUCACCUCUGCUGGAUGUGUCCCAGGUGGACCCUGCAGAGAUGGAUUAUUGUUUGUGCCGUCAGAGCAUCUACAGCUUAGAAGAAACAAGGAGCCAUGCAGAACCCCAAAACGGAGAUAUUAUGUAAUGAAAUUCCAUAGGAGGAUGACUGCUACCCUUUCCUCUUCUAACAAAGCAUGAUGCUGAUGAACCAGAGUCACUCUGAAUCUUGAGGAUCAAGCCGGACACCAGACUACAAUGAGCAUUUAUAUUUAACGUUAAGAUUCUCCAUGGUACUCAGUACUGGCCACAUGUAAACCAGAGUGACAGACAGUGACCACUACUAAAAUCAGUCAGAUUGUGGAUUAGGCCUAGAGGGGGUGUGCAGAAAGAGGUCAGGGCAUAAAGAGGGAGUUCUCAGCAAUGUUAGCCUACCACACAGCUUAAGCCCAUACCUUCACUUGUAGCCUCAGACUGUAAUCGUGCUAUGGAAGAGUUCCUCUAGAAACUCAACUUAUAAAACAGGCAGAUCCUGACUCACCCCAGGAAUAUGACUCAGUGGGUUCUGGAGAAAGGAUACUGCUAUGUGUUCAAAGACUUUCUGGGGUAUUUAGAUGAUUGGUUCUACUCAAGGCAAGCUUUGUGGACCAAGGACUUUAUUGGGGUUACUCUCAAGAAUAUGGGUUUCUCAAGUAGGUGUCUUAAAUGCAGCUGUAUCACUACAAAGUCCACCCACCAUGGUAUCAUGAGAGUUCCCUCCACAACUUGCACAACUGGUGGCAAUUGCUACCAUUCAUAUAAGCUUAGGAAGGGGCCUGGUGAACCUUGUAACUGCCCUAUGUGCUUUGUUGGCUUCCUCUAUCCCUCUAUCCACAAGGAUAAUAGCAAACGAAUAGGUAGGCUUUGAUGACAGAAUUUACAAGUCUUAAAGGGCAUUUCCUGUCUGCAUUGACUGCAAAGCUCAGCUGUAAUUUCAGUUCCCAUCACAGCAUAAGCAAUGUUGGGUGGGACUCACCAUCACAGAGCCUCUAAAUCUGGCCCUAUCAUCAACUCAAUGUCUGAUUUUGGAUGGCUUGAAUGACCUGAUUUUGUAUUUUAAUUCUUUGUGGUAGAACAGAUGUCUCCUGAGACUGCCUCAUUGUUGGUUCUUUCAUUCAUCAGUUCUGCUAAGCAAUAGUUGAAUCCCUGUUAAUAGAGUCUGAUGGGUUCAAUAAUAAAGAUUAGAAGCCAAUAGUAGCGGGCAUGAGGAAAUGGCUAACUGAGCAAAGUGCUUGCUGUGUACACAUGAGACCUGAGUUUGGACUCUACCAUCUAUGUAAGAAGCUGAGUAUGUGCUUGUAAUAUCAAUGCUAGGGGUAGGAUGAGACAGGGGGAUCCCCAAGGCUCUUUGACCAGCCAGCCUAUCCAAUCAUUGAGCUUCAGUUUCAGUGAGAGAUCUUAUCUCACAAAACAAAACAAAUAUACAAACAAACAAACACCAGUGUGAAAACAAUAGGGAAAGACAUAUAGCAUAAGUGUUUGGCUUUCACGUGUGAGUGCUUAGGGGAGAGAGUGCUUGCACAUACAUAUGCGCGU